rnacentral:rRNA from 1 species
ACUUUUCGCAUGGUGUUUUUGCAUGCACUCGCUCUCGUGGGCUUGGGCCUCUCAAAAAUUUCACUGGGCCAACAUCAAUUCUGGCAGCAGGAUAAAUCAUUAAGAAUGUAGCUACUUCGGUAGUGUUAUAGCUUUUUGGAAUACUGUUAGCCGGGAUUGAGGACUGCGCUUCGGCAAGGAUGUUGGCAUAAUGGUUAAAUGCCGCCCGUCUUGAAACACGGACCAAGGAGUCA